GGGGAGGGGGAGGUAAAUAAAGGAAACAUAUCAUGGGAAACAGAAAAAUUUGUUUAUUAUUUCUAAAAAUUGCAAAUAUUUACUCUCAAAGUUGUUGAAAAUAUUUAUUCUAGUUGGGUAAUGUUACAGGGCAUGUAGAAAGGGAAAGUGUGCUUUUCAGAGUGAGGACAAGCCCUUAAAAUAUAAUGCAUGAGUUGGGAAAACAUGACUUAUGUAGCAGGGAAUAACAGGAAUAACAGAAUAAUGGCAUUUGGUUGUCCAUAUGCUUCUGUUUUGCCUUGAAUUAAGAUCUCUAUACAUAUAUUUUAUCUGUAACCUCUGAACACCUCUUCAUAAUCUUGCUGAGAGUUAUAUGUGUUCUCUAUAAGAAGUGUUUUCUCCUUGUGAUGUGAUAAGAAAUAAUAAUUCAGGUGCAAGAAGACAGCCAGUGUUUGUAGUAAGUAUACUUGAGAUAGGCUGUGCUGUGGAUGUGAUAAAUCCGUUGUAUUAAAGUUUCCCUUAUAAAAUAGCACAGUUUGGGAGUGUUUCUUUUAAAGAAAGAGUCUUUUUCUAAUUAGAAUAAGAUACUAAUAUAUCCUUUGUGUUUUCCCUGUGAAAUUACAUUCUAAGCUUUUCAAAUCAUAAUGGCACAUGCUUUUGUAAGACUUGGCUAUUUCUACUGGCAUUUUUUAUGAAAGUGUAUUUUUCUUAAACUUUAUAUUGGGUGAGAGCACUUUCUUUCCCUACUUUUGGAAGGUAAUCUAGUCUGAGUGGGUGAAUAAUCAAAAUCAUUAAGAGAUUAAUUAAAUAAUUAGAGGGAUUGCAGCAAGGAAAAGUAAAUAUAUACUAAGUUUAAACCCAGUAAAACUGUGUGUCAGAUUUUCAUAGUUAGUGGCUCUAUUCAUUUGCUGUAGUUCUAGAAGCCAAAGGAACUCCUUUUGGAAAAGGAACUUAAUUUCAUAAUUUUCACUUUUCUUUUCAGCUUGCAGGUGAUUGCUGUGUUAGUCAAUGUGUACCUAAUGCUCUGAGUGCAUACAUCCAAGUUAGCAGUUAGUCAACCUCAUUCAAAUGUCAAAGGAGACAUUGCUUGUAAUCUUCCAUAGCCUUCAUGCUCUAUGUAGUCCCUGGAACAGUUACAUCAGUGUCACCUGGGGGUUUGUUAGCAGUGGUCCCAACAGCCAGACCUAGUGAAUCAAAAUUUGCAAUUCUUCUACAAGGUUAAUGUUUGAGAAACACUGUUCUGCUACACUAUUGAGCAAACAUAGCUUGUAUCUUAUUUCUAUUAUCUUUAGCUUGUCUGAUAAAUAAUACAUCAGAUAUUUCUUUCAACGCAUCCAACUUGGCUAGAGUAGGAUGAAAGGAAAAUAUCUACUGUAAUAGCUCACUCAGGGCUUUGUAAUCUGGCAGACCUGCGUUGGAUCCCUGGUUUUGUGAUUUACCAGUUUUGUACCAAUCAAAUUAUUUAAGUUUUUCUACCUUCUCAGUUGAAAUUAAAUGUUUUGACUCUCAAUUCCACAAUCUUUUGACUCCAAAAUGCUUUCCAUUACAAUAAGCUGAUCAAUAGUUCAUGGGUGUAUGGAAUUGGGCUAUUUUUUCAAUGACUAUUCUCUCUUUACUGCUUUCCUAAGGGUAGAAACAUAAACCAGACAAACAGAUGUGUAAAUGAGCUAGAGGUAAGGAGAAACCUGCACUACUAGGCUAUUUUAACAGUUUAAAUUACAUUAAUAAAUUUCCAUCUAAAUACUCUGCUAAUUUGGGCUAAAAAAGAAAUCAGUGACAUUGGCUGUCAGCUAUAUCACCUAUUUUUGUUUCUAACCUGACUUUCUGGCUACAGUAUUAUGGGGAAACUUCUGGUGCAGAUAUGAUGCUCUUACUCACUGAUUAAUUUUAAAUAUUUACAGUAUCAUGCACUUUGUCCAUAAAUACAUCAUAAAGAAAGACAAAGGGAGUUUUGUCUUCUCUCUGAAAUGCCAUCUGAUUUAGAUAUGAGAUAUGUAAUGAGUUUUCAUUUGAAAAGAUACCGUGCCAAGCAUGCUGAUGAAAUGUGUAUCUCUUUAAUUUAGAAUAAUGUCUCAGAAUUAAAAUAUGCCUGUGAUUUAUGUGGAGGUAGAAAGACAAGAUAUAUAAGAUAAUAUAGAGGAUGGAAACAUUCUUUAUAUCCUAUAACAUUUUUAAUUGUCUGUAGAAGAGCGCCUACAACCUGUUUAUUUUGAGUUUUUCUUGGCAUUUGUUAAUCACUGGAUUAACCUUUAUCUCAUCUUUUAAAGCUGUCACUAUAUUUUCUUGUUAGAUAAUCUCCUCAAUGUAUUUCAGAAUAUUUUGAUUUAGUGCAGCUUUUGUAAUAUGUUUUUGUUUAAUCUUUACUGUAUUUUUCCAUUACCGUUAGUGCCCUUAUACUCCCAUUUUUCUAGCAGUCACCACACUGGUUGUCCAUGUCAAUGAGUCCUUUUUCCUUUUUGCUUAAUCAAGGCUUUUUGUUUUGAAC